CAGCCGCGGUAAUACGUAGGAUGCAAGCGUUAUCCGGAAUCAUUGGGCGUAAAGCGUCCGCAGGUGGGACGGUGUGUCGUGGCGUAAAUACCAGUGCUUACCAUUGGUUCUCGUCACGAAACUGCCGACCUAGAGGAUGGGAGAGGCAGACAGAAUUCCCGGUGUAGGGGUAAAAUCCGUAGAUAUCGGGAGGAAUACCGAAAGCGAAGGCAGUCUGCUGGAACAUUCCUGACACUCAUGGACGAAAGCGUGGGGAGCGAAAAGGAUUAGAUACCCUUGUAGUCCACGCCCUAAACGAUGAACACUCGGUGUAGGGGGAGUCAAUCCCCUCUGUGCCUAAGCUAACGCGUUAAGUGUUCCGCCUGAGUAGUACGGCCGCAAGGCUAAAACUCAAAGGAAUAGACGGGGACCCACACAAGCGGUGGAGCAUGUGGUUUAAUUCGACAGUAAACGAGAAACCUUACCAGGUCUUGACAUGGAGAGAAUACCGAAGAAACUCGGUAGUGCCCGCAAGGGAGCUCUCGCACAGGUGCUGCAUGGUCGUCGUCAGCUCGAGCCUUGAGGUGUGCGGUUAAGUCCGUGAUCGAGCGCAACCCUUACCCGCUGUUACAUAUUUCUGCGGGGACUGCCGUGCCACAAGCCGGAGGAAGGUGGGGAUGACGUCAGAUCAGCAUGGCCCUUACGGCCUGGGCUACACACGUGCUACAAUGGCGAGUCACAAAGCGAAGCAAUGGAGCAAUCCGGAGCCAACCGUCAAAACUCGCCUCAGUUCGGAUUGGGGGCUGCAACUCGCCCCCAUGAAGCUGGAAUCGCUAGUAACCGUGAAUCAGCUAUGUCACGGUGAAUAUGUUCCUGGGUCUUGC
rnacentral:rRNA from 1 species